GACGAACGCUGGCGGCGUGCUUAACACAUGCAAGUCGAACGGAAAGGCCCUGCUUUUGUGGGGUGCUCGAGUUGCGACCGGGUGAGUAACACGUGAGUAACCUGCCCUUCCCUUUGGGAUAACUUCAUGCAACUUGGUCUAAUACCGGAUAGGAGCUCCUGCUUCAUGGUGGGGGUUGGAAAGUUUCGGCGGUUGGGGAUGGACUCGCCGCCUAUCAGCUUGUUGCGGGGGUAGUGGCUGACCAAGGCCUUGACGGGUAGCCGGGCUGCGAGGAGGACCGGAUAAAUUGGGACUGGGAUGAGGCCCAGACUCCUACGGGAGGCAGCAGAGGGGAAUAUUGCACAAGGGGAGGAAGCAUGAUGCAGCAACGCAGCGUGGGGGAUGACGGCAAUGGGGUUGUAAACCGAAUUCGCCUGUGACGAAGCGUGAGUGACGGUAAUGGGUAAAGAAGCACCGGCUAACUACGUG
rnacentral:rRNA from 1 species